GGGCCAGACUCCUACGGGAGGCAGCAGUGGGGAAUAUUGCGCAAUGGGCGAAAGCCUGACGCAGCGACGCCGCGUGAGGGAAGACGGUCUUCGGAUUGUAAACCUCUGUCUUUGGGGAAGAAAAUGACGGUACCCAAAGAGGAAGCUCCGGCUAACUACGUGCCAGCAGCCGCGGUAAUACGUAGGGAGCGAGCGUUGUCCGGAAUUACUGGGUGUAAAGGGAGCGUAGGCGGGCGAGAAAGUUGAAUGUUAAAUCUACCGGCUUAACUGGUAGCUGCGUUCAAAACUUCUUGUCUUGAGUGAAGUAGAGGCAGGCGGAAUUCCUAGUGUAGCGGUGAAAUGCGUAGAUAUCAGGAGGAACACCGGUGGCGAGGGCGGCCUGCUGGACUGCGACUGACGUUGAGGCCCGAAAGCGUGGGGAGCAAACAGGAUUAGAUACCCCGGUAC
rnacentral:rRNA from 1 species